UACGUAGGGUGCAAGCGUUGUCCGGAAUUCUUGGGCGUAAAGAGCUCGUAGGCGGCUUGUCGCGUCGGCUGUGAAAACCUGGGGCUCAACCCCGGGCCUGCAUUCGAUACGGGCAGACUAGAGUUCGGUAGGGGAGUCUGGAAUUCCUGGUGUAGCGGUGAAAUGCGCAGAUAUCAGGAGGAACACCGGUGGCGAAGGCGGGACUCUGGGCCGAUACUGACGCUGAGGAGCGAAAGCGUGGGGAGCAAACAGG
rnacentral:rRNA from 1 species